rnacentral:tRNA from 1 species
UUAAUUGAAGCUAAAAAGAAGCAUUCCACUGUUAAUGGAAAAAAUGGAAUUAACCCAAUUAAA